GACGAACGCUGGCGGCGUGCUUAACACAUGCAAGUCGAGCGGUAAGGCCCUUUCGGGGGUACACGAGCGGCGAACGGGUGAGUAACACGUGGGUGACCUGCCCUCAGCUCUGGGAUAAGCCUGGGAAACCGGGUCUAAUACUGGAUAUGACUCCAUGACGCAUGUUGUGGGGUGGAAAGCCUUGUGCGGCUGAGGAUGGGCCCGCGGCCUAUCAGCUUGUUGGUGGGGUGAGGCCUACCAAGGCGACGACGGGUAGCCGGCCUGAGAGGGCGACCGGCCACACUGGGACUGAGACACGGCCCAGACUCCUACGGGAGGCAGCAGUGGGGAAUCUUGCGCAAUGGGCGAAAGCCUGACGCAGCGACGCCGCGUGAGGAUGACGGCCU
rnacentral:rRNA from 1 species